GAGGGAACAGUAACGCGUGCGUACGGCCCCGCCCUGACUCCCGGCCACUCUAGGACUAGGAGGACCGGCCGACUCGUUGUAUUCUGUUUCCAAGUUUGUUCCUGAUGGAAUUGGGAUUCAAAGCCCUAUGGUCAAUUUCCCCUAAAAUUUGUCUCCCCUCUGGGAGUAUGGACCAAAACUCUUUUUUGGGGUGCAGAAGCCAUCAAGUUGCAGAUACUACCAUGACACCAACCUGAUUUCCCUGGGCAGUCAACCUCACCAGUGUGUGCUGGAAUCUCAUCUCUCCAGACCCCUUCCCAAAAGGGAAAGGCAGAAACAGGCUGGGGUUAUGGAUUAACCUGCCAAAUGCCUAUAUCCAGCAGAGAAGCAAUUACAGAAGCCAGACCUUCCACCUUCUGCACCCCACAGUGAUCCUGGGUCCAUACUCCCAGAGGGAUAAAGAAUAGGAAGCUGCCAGUGAAGGAGAGGGAAUGGGGUGCGGAACUCUGGUGGUGGGAAUUGUGUGGAAUUGUACCCCUCUUGUCAAAUGGACAUGUCAAUCGUAAUUAAGUCAAUAAUAAAAAAAAAUCAAAAAAAUAUUGUCAGUGAAGAUGAUGUCAGAGAUAAGAACAGAAGUAGAAAGCUGGAUUAGGGCAGAGAGUAGCACCCAAACUUGAAUAGAAUAUAUAAAUAGGCCUUUCUCUCUCCCCAGCCAUCAUGGCAGCUGCUCUUGGUUGGA